rnacentral:rRNA from 1 species
UAGGGAAUAUUGGGCAAUGGAGGGAACUCUGACCCAGCAACGCCGCGUGAAGGAAGAAGGUUUUCGGAUUGUAAACUUCUAUCCUUGGUGAAGAGAAGGACGGUAGCCAAGAAGGAAGCCCCGGCUAACUACGUGCCAGCAGCCGCGGUAAUACGUAGGGGGCAAGCGUUGUCCGGAAUGAUUGGGCGUAAAGGGCUCGUAGGUGGCAUGUCAAGUCUGAAGUGAAAGUCCUACUUUCAAGGUGGGAAUUGCUUUGGAAACUGGCAAGCUUGAGUAUAGGAGAGGUUAGUGGAAUUCCUAGUGUAGCGGUGAAAUGCGUAGAGAUUAGGAGGAACAUCAGUGGCGAAGGCGACUAACUGGACUAAAACUGACACUGAGGAGCGAAAGUGUGGGUAGCAAACAGG